CCUACGGGUGACAGCAGUGAGGAAUAUUGGUCAAUGGGCGCGAGCCUGAACCAGCCAAGUAGCGUGAAGGAUGACUGUCCUACGGGUUGUAAACUUCUUUUAUAAAGGAAUAAAGUGAGGCACGUGUGCCUCUUUGUAUGUACUUUAUGAAUAAGGAUCGGCUAACUCCGUGCCAGCAGCCGCGGUAAUACGGAGGGUCCGAGCGUUAUCCGGAUUUAUUGGGUUUAAAGGGAGCGUAGAUGGGUUGUUAAGUCAGUUGUGAAAGUUUGCGGCUCAACCGUAAAAUUGCAAUUGAUACUGGCAGUCUUGAGUACAGUUGAGGUAGGCGGAAUUCGAGGUGUAGCGGUGAAAUGCUUAGAUAUCACGAAGAACUCCGAUGGCGAAGGCAGCUUACUAAACUGCCACUGACAUUGAUGCUCGAAAGUGUGGGUAUCAAACAGGAUUAGAUACCCUUGUAGUC
rnacentral:rRNA from 1 species